GACGAACGCUGGCGGCGUGCCUAAUACAUGCAAGUCGAGCGAGACUCUUCGGAGUCUAGCGGCGGACGGGUGAGUAACACGUGGGCAACCUGCCUGUAAGACUGGGAUAACACCGGGAAACCGGUGCUAAUACCGGAUAAUCCUUUUCCUCUCAUGAGGAAAAGCUGAAAGUCAGUUUCGGCUGACACUUACAGAUGGGCCCGCGGCGCAUUAGCUAGUUGGUGAGGUAACGGCUCAACAAGGCGACGAUGCGUAGCCGACCUGAGCGGGUGGUCGGCCACACUGGGACUGAGACACGGCCCAGACUCCUACGGGAGGCAGCAGUAGGGAAUCUUCCACAAUGGACGAAAGUCUGAUGGAGCAACGCCGCGUGAGCGAUGAAGGCCUUCGGGUCGUAAAGCUCUGUUGUUAGGGAAGAACAAGUACCGGAGUAACUGCCGGUACCUUGACGGUACCUAACCAGAAAGCCACGGCUAACUACGUGCCAGCCGCCGCAGUAA
rnacentral:rRNA from 1 species